rnacentral:lncRNA from 1 species
GCCUGGGCUGGAAUAUUUUGAAAUUAUCCCCGAGGUGAUUCUGUUUGCAGCAGACCCACAGCUGUUCUGGGAGAAGUCUUAGGUGUGUCGCUGUGCCAUCGACUCCAGUGUGGGGGUCAGCGAGAGUGCACUGUUAAGAACCAUGAACACUGUGCAGAGGAGAUGAUAAAAAUGUGUUUUGAGGGAUGUGUAGGAGUUUUUCACAACAAGAUUUGGAUGGGAGUAGAAGGUUUUUCGGGUAAAAGAAUUAGUUUUUGAAAAGCCAUGGAAGGCCAAACAUAGGGACAUAUACAGGAGACUAAUUUAGUGUUGUUAACUAUCAGACAGGCAGAGCUGGAGAAGUGUCGAAGUGUCAAAGUGUCGGGAGCAGGUCACCAGCAAGUCAGGCGCUCCUCUUUGUCCUUGUCUGUCCUCAGAGGACACUUACUGCCCUUUGAUCAUCAUUUUAGUUUCUGUGCACUCUUUUCCUGCAUGUUUUUCAAAUCCCGAGACGCCCAGAGGGCCCUUCUACCCUGCUGGCAUCUGAGACAGAGAAAGUGGAGCCAGGGAACGCCGUCCAUUCUGAGCUGUCCAACAGCAAGACGUUUCCUGAGAGGACCGGCACACAGCUACCGGGGUGGAUCACACAGAGAACCCAGAAGGCCAGGGUGGGACUUCCAGCCCUGCCUACUGUUCUUCUGUCUGCAGGGGUGUCAGACGGACGCUGGGGUGAGUGGAAGAUCUUCCCGCAGCGAGCUGGGCCUUCUUCAUAGUGUGGUGCAAGCUCCAGAAAGGAGCAUUCUAAACACCACCAUGGAAGCUGCAGCCCUUUUAAGGGGUGGCCUUGAGAUUACACAGCAUUACUUUCACUGGAUUCUUUUGGUCAAAACAAGUUAUAGGUCAGCCAGGAGCAAGGGAAGUACAAAUAGACCCCACUCCCCAAUGGGAUGAGUGGCAAAGAAUUUGCAUUUGCCUUUUAAAAAAGUAUUGGUGCCAGGCGUGGUGGCGCACACCUGUAAUCCCAGCACUCGGGAGGCUGAGGCAGGAGGAUCUGUUGCAAGUUUGAGGCCAGCCUGGGCUACAAAGUGAGCUCAAGGCCAGCCUGAACCGCAUAGUGAGACCCUGGCUCAAAAAGACAAAAAUAAAUAAAUAAAUAAAAAUUAAAAAAUAAAAAAAGUAUUGGUGCAGUACUGGGGACCAAAGUAGGGAUGCUCUGCCUCUGAGCUAUGUCCCUGGCCCUUUUUCCUUUUGUAACUUUUUUUUUAUUGGUCUGUGUUUUCCAUACAUAAUAUUUGCAUUUGUCUGGGGGUAUUAAGAUUAUAUAUACCAUAUCCUUCAUUUUCCAUUCCUUCUCUCAUUCUUCUCCUCUUCCCUCCCACUCCCCCCUUCCCCUGAUCCCUUUCCCCAGCUCCAAAAUGUCUGUCUGUAUUUUGAUUUUUAAUUUAUUUAUAUUUAGGUCUGAUUUACUUAACCUUAUGGUCUCAAGACCCAUUCAUUUUUCUGCAAAUGUCAUGAUUUCAUUCUUCUUCAUGGCUGAGUAAAACACACACACACACACACACACACACACACACACAUCACAUUUUCUCUAUCUGUUCGUUCAUUGAUGGGUACCGAGGCUGUUUUCAGAGCUCGGCUAUUGUGAAUUGUGCUGCUAUAAACAUGGGUAUGCAGGCGUCAUUAUAGUAUGAUUUUUUUAAACUCUGUUGGGAAUAUACCCUGAAAUAUACCCUGAAGAGGAAUAGCUGGGUCAAAUGGAAUUUCUAUUUUUAGGUUUUUGAGGCCUCUCUAUAUUGAUUUCAAGUAUAGUUGUACUAGUUUACAUUUCCACCAACAAUGUAGAAGUUUACAUUUCCACCAACAAUGAAGCAGCUAUGAGCAAGACUUAAAUUAACCAACUAGUUUUCCAUGUUUACUUGUGAGUCUGUCCAGGGCCUAGGCCCCUUGUCUGGAGAUGGGCAACGGACUUCUAGUAAGUGAACCUCUGUGAGUCACUGGUCACUGCUGAGGCCCAUAAUGGCGGGUGAAGCCAGAAAGCAUCAAAGGAUAAGACAAGGUCACAGCCAAGGACACCUGGAUCCAACCUCAACUAGGUAAAGACUAGCCUCAGACAUCUCAUUCCUGGGUAGAUUAGCUUAAUACCUUACUUGAAGAAGUCCUUGAGCACUUCCCUUCUUGAAUAUUCCCCUCCCUUGUUCUGAUAACUAAAUAAAUACUGGCUACCUAGAGAAGGUCUGGGUCUUAGCUCACAGAGAAUC